CCUACGGGUGGCAGCAGUAGGGAAUCUUCCACAAUGGGCGCAAGCCUGACGGAGCAACGCCGCGUGAGUGAAGAAUGUCUUCGGAUCGUAAAACUCUGUUGUUAGAGAAGAACAAUCGCGAGAGUAACUGUUAACGUCUCGACGGUAUCUAACCAGAAAGCCACGGCUAACUACGUGCCAGCAGCCGCGGUAAUACGUAGGUGGCAAGCGUUAUCCGGAUUUAUUGGGCGUAAAGGGAGCGCAGGCGGUCGCUUAAGUCUGAUGGGAAAGCCUUCGGCUUAACCGGGGAAGUGCAUUGGAAACUGGGGGACUUGAGUGCAGAAGAGGAGAGUGGAACUCGAUGUGUAGCGGUGAAAUGCGUAGAUAUAUGGAAGAACACCAGUGGCGAAGGCGGCUCUCUGGUCUGUAACUGACGCUGAGGCUCGAAAGCGUGGGUAGCAAACAGGAUUAGAUACCCUUGUAGUC
rnacentral:rRNA from 1 species